rnacentral:rRNA from 1 species
AGUGAACGCUGGCGGUAGGCCUAACACAUGCAAGUCGAACGGCAGCACAGUAAGAGCUUGCUCUUAUGGGUGGCGAGUGGCGGGCGGGUGAUGAGUACAUCGGAAUCUACUUUUUCGUGGGGGAUAACGUAGGGAAACUUACGCUAAUACCGCAUACGAACUACGGGUGAAAGCAGCGGAUCUUCGGACCUUGCGCGAUUGAAUGAGCCGAUGUCGGAUUAGCUAGUUGGCGGGGUAAAGGCCCACCAAGGCGACGAUCCGUAGCUGGUCUGAGAGGAUGAUCAGCCACACUGGAACUGAGACACGGUCCAGGCUCCUACGGGAGGCAGCAGUGGGGAAUAUUGGACAAUGGGCGCAAGCCUGAUCCAGCCAUACCGCGUGGGUGAAGAAGGCCUUCGGGUUGUAAAGCCCUUUUGUUGGGAAAGAAAAGCAGCAGGUUAAUACCCCGCUGUUCUGACGGUACCCAAAGAAUAAGCACCGGCUAACUUCGUG